rnacentral:lncRNA from 1 species
AUGACAACUUCUUCCCCUGAUCCCAGGCUGCCUCCCCGCCCAGGCCAAAAACUGCUGCUGUGCUCAGCCAAAACAAGGAGCCAGACCCAGCAAACCUAUUCCAGGUGCUCUGCAGAGCUCUGCCUGAAGGAAGAGCUAUUUAGGGCCAGGGCAGGAGUGCAGGUGAAACACGAGCAGCAGCAGGGAACGGAGAGCCAUGGGCAUCGUGGAAGAGGACCAAGCCACCUGGCUUGGUGGAUCUCAGAAGAUCCGGGAGCCCUGAUGAUGCCACUGUGUUUCUCCUCACCCCGACAGGAGCUGACGAUACGGGUGUCUCACUUCCCUCAGCACAUACACCACCAGGCUUUAGCUACCAACGCUGUGAAGACACACUGGAAGCGUGACCCAGAAACACUGCAAAGGUUCAAAAAGCGGAGUACCCAAAGUUUACUUCUUAAAGCUUACACUUCACCCUGGGGCUGUGCUUCUUUACAAAGAGUUGGAGCAGUCUCUCCAUAUGAUGCCAGUAGGGUUUUCACAGGUCUGUCCACAGCUGACAAGCUGGUGUGGGACCAGAGUAGUAAAUGCCAGAGCUUCUCCCCCCAAAAUCAGGUGUCAGAGAGGGGAAAUGAAUCUAACAGCAGCUAUGGGAAGGACUUCCCCAGAUCCUACAGGACCCCCAGCCCAUAUGACAAUGCCUUGGGAAAAACUCACCCCAGGAGAAGCAAGAGCAGACAAAGCAGGGCUGCUGGCUCUGCAGCUGCGGGACGGGAGGCAGAGGGAGCGCUCUGCCAGGGGCUGGCAGGAAUAACCAGGUCAAGAGGGAGGUGCAAUGCAAGAGGAGGCUCCUGCUUCCUUUUGCCUGCUUCUUCCUUUGCAAAUGUCCCCCGUAACUCAGAGCUGCAGCAUGGCGAGCAUCGCGCAGCCCCCAGGGCUACAGGGUACCAGCCUGCCCAGGGUACAAAGGGGCAUCGAGGGGACCACCUCCGACCCUCAGCAAACACCGACCUCCCCCAGAGGGGAUUUCCUGCCCCUCAAGGUGACCGGCACGGCGAGUUUUUCCUCACCUACCUCCACUCUGGCAUUACAGGGCCAGCCACCCUCCAGCCAAGAGGAUGCUGCCCCGUGACAGGAGCGGGAGGCGAGCCUUGUAAUUAG